GCAUAUCAAUAAGCGGAGGAAAAGAAAAUAACAAUGAUUCCCCUAGUAACUGCGAGUGAAGAGGGACAAGCUCAAAUUUUAAAUCUAUCGGGUUUUACCUGAUCGAGUUGUAAUUUGAAGAAGCGUUUUCUGCGUAUUUGGUCAGCCUAAGUCCUAUUGAAUAAGGCAUCAUGGAGGGUGAGAAUCCCGUCCGGUUGAUCAGAUUCGCUUUACGAUACGCUUUCUAAGAGUCAAGUUGUUUGGGAUUGCACCUUAAAAUGGGAGGUAAAUUUCUCCUAAGGCUAAAUAACGGCGAGAGACCGAUAGCGAACAAGUACCGUGAGGGGAAGAUGAAAAGAACUUUGAAAAGAGAGUUAAACAGUACGUGAAAUUGUUGAAAGGGAAACGAUUGAAGCCAGUCGUACCUUCGGGUAAUCAGCCUUUCGGGUGCGAUUCUGUGGAGUUUGAGGAGCUUUAACACCUUCAUGCUUUGCAUAUUCGUGCUCUUGGGUGUACUUGCCCGUGUGGUUGGUUAACAUCAAUUUCGGGCACCAUAAAAUGGCUGGAGGAAUGUAGCUUCGAUCUUGUAUUGAAGUGUUAUAGCCUUCGGUAGAUGUGGUGAUCGAGAUUGAGGAUUGCAACGGAUACCUUUCGGGGCUACCUGUCUGAUCUCUGAUCGUUGCUUUGGUGCCGAAAGCUUGCUUACGGUUAUCAAAGUCGAUGGUCAAUAGGUUAGAACGGGUUAAAUUCGUUAAGGAUGUUGACGUAAUGGCUUUAAACGAC
rnacentral:rRNA from 1 species